UAACACGUGGAUGAUCUACCCUCUAGUGGGGAAUAACCCAGGGAAACCGGGGCUAAUACCGCAUAAGCACGAGAGUGGAAAGCAGCAAUGCGCUGGAGGAGGAGUCCGCGGCCGAUUAGCUAGCUGGCAGGGUAAAAGCCUACCAAGGCAAAGAUCGGUAGCCGGCCUGAGAGGGCACACGGCCACACUGGCACUGAAACACGGGCCAGACUCCUACGGGAGGCAGCAGUGGGGAAUCUUGCACAAUGGGGGAAACCCUGAUGCAGCGACGCCGCGUGAGCGAUGAAGCCCUUCGGGGUGUAAAGCUCUUUCGGCAGGGAAGAUGAUGACGGUACCUGCAGAAGCAGCUGCGGCUAACUACGUGCCAGCAGCCGCGGUAAUACGUAGGCAGCAAGCGUUGUUCGGAGUUACUGGGCGUAAAGGGUGCGUAGGCGGUUGUUUAAGUUUGGUGUGAAAUCUCCCGGCUCAACUGGGAGGGUGCGCCGAAUACUGAAUGACUAGAGUG
rnacentral:rRNA from 1 species